rnacentral:rRNA from 1 species
AUGGUCACGCUGAAGUUACUCGUCAGUCGUCUAAUGGAACAUGUGGCUAUGUCCAGAGAGAAUUUCUAUCGUCUGAAAUGGGAUAAAGCAUACUUCUUAACUCCUGAAGAAUACUUUUCAAGUGUUGUUUCUGGGGGUGGUUCCUGUCGGCAACAGGGACACAACAGGACAACCUGCCUGGAUCAUGGAGAUGUUCCAAAACAGCCUCGAAUACCUGCUCGGUGCAAGAACUGUAGUGUCAUGGGUCACUGA